GAAGGACCUAGACUUGUAUUUGC
rnacentral:miRNA from 1 species